ensembl:lncRNA
GUGCUGCAAGCAGAAUUGAUGAUUCAGAAAGACCACCCUCAGUGACUCUCUGUAACCCCAAGGACUGCAGCACACCAGCGAAUUCACUUUCACUUUUCACUUUCAUGCAUUGGAGAAGGAAAUGGCAACCCACCCCAGUGUUACUCGCCUGGAGAAUCCCAGGGACGGGGGAGCCUGGCGGGCUGCCAUUUAUGGGGUCGCACAAAGUCGGACACGACUGAAGCAACCUAGCAACAGCAGCAGCAGCAGUCCUUCAAUCCACAGCACAGCUACAAGCAUCAUUUUUAACGCCCUCUAGGCUGUAUUCUCCAAGUUGAAUGACUUUUGAUUACGCAUCCAUGGUAAAGAAAAAGAUGGCAUUAAUCUUCUGUAACACUGCAUGGUCACAACAUCUUCAGGAGCAAGGUGGCCUAAAAAUGGCUCCUUAAAUUACAGUAGAACUCUGAAACUAGAUUUAUUAUGUAAAUGGGAAGAAAAAUGGGAUGAAACGUCGUACAUACAGUCGUGUUAUUGUAUCAAAAUAAACCUGUGCAAAGAAGAUGUAAUCUUAUUGUCCAACAGGAAAGAAGGCAAAUAAAUUGGCUUCACUUGACUCUAAGGAAACUUGUUUGAACUACUGUUGAUCCAGCUGAGCACUCCAAAGGCUCCUCCUCCCCCACACGAAGGUGUUACUUCUCUUUCAUUGCCAGUAUCUGAGCCACAGCCUCAGGCCUGGCUGUGGAGAAAUAAGAAUGGUCUUCCCCUCUCAUACCCACUAGGGCACUGAAUGUGACCAGGGAGCUACCAGACUCAGGUGGGGCAAGAUCCAUCAGGGCAAGUCCCCACUGGGUGAAGGGGUGUAAAUGUUGAGACUAGCCAGCUGAUGGGGUUGAAAAAGGGGAG